rfam:Schistocephalus solidus strain NST_G2 genome assembly, scaffold: SSLN_scaffold0003340
GGCCUCAUAGCUCAGUUGGCUAGAGCAUUGGCUGUACAAAUGCUUUCCACUUGCUGGCGUGGAUUUGAAUCCCACUGAGGCCA